rnacentral:lncRNA from 1 species
UGACAUUUUCUGCAGUGUCACUCUUCACAUGAUGUCUUUUAAAUAAAUCCUCUGCAACUGGGUUAUAUUAUAUUAAAAAGUUAAAAUCAGCCUUGAGUGGACAAAGUAUCCAAAAUAGAUGAAGACAUUUGUGUCUGCUGCUUAGAGCAUCAUCCCCUCCAGUUCCAUCCACGUCGAUGCAAAUGGUGGGUGUUCAUCCUUUCUGAUGGCAGCCAUUCUUUUGGACAUGAGUACUGCAAGGUAAGAUGACAUUGGUGAGUCAAGAGUUAACCCCCCCCCCCCUCCAGCAAUUUUCCUCACCUC